GACGAACGCUGGCGGCGUGCUUAACACAUGCAAGUCGAACGGAAAGGCCCUGCUUUUGUGGGGUGCUCGAGUGGCGAACGGGUGAGUAACACGUGAGUAACCUGCCCUUGACUUUGGGAUAACUUCAGGAAACUGGGGCUAAUACCGGAUAGGAGCUCCUGCUGCAUGGUGGGGGUUGGAAAGUUUCGGCGGUUGGGGAUGGACUCGCGGCUUAUCAGCUUGUUGGUGGGGUAGUGGCUUACCAAGGCUUUGACGGGUAGCCGGCCUGAGAGGGUGACCGGCCACAUUGGGACUGAGAUACGGCCCAGACUCCUACGGGAGGCAGCAGUGGGGAAUAUUGCACAAUGGGCGGAAGCCUGAUGCAGCAACGCCGCGUGCGGGAUGACGGCCUUCGGGUUGUAAACCGCUUUCGCCUGUGACGAAGCGUGAGUGACGGUAAUGGGUAAAGAAGCACCGGCUAACUACGUGCCAGCAGCCGCGGUGAUACGUAGGGUGCGAGCGUUGUCCGGAUUUAUUGGGCGUAAAGGGCUCGUAGGUGGUUGAUCGCGUCGGAAGUGUAAUCUUGGGGCUUAACCCUGAGCGUGCUUUCGAUACGGGUUGACUUGAGGAAGGUAGGGGAGAAUGGAAUUCCUGGUGGAGCGGUGGAAUGCGCAGAUAUCAGGAGGAACACCAGUGGCGAAGGCGGUUCUCUGGGCCUUUCCUGACGCUGAGGAGCGAAAGCGUGGGGAGCGAACAGGCUUAGAUACCCUGGUAGUCCACGCUGUAAACGGUGGGUACUAGGUGUGGGGUCCAUUCCACGGGUUCCGUGCCGUAGCUAACGCUUUAAGUACCCCGCCUGGGGAGUACGGCCGCAAGGCUAAAAUUCAAAGGAAUUGACGGGGCCCCGCACAAGCGGCGGAGCAUGCGGAUUAAUUCGAUGCAACGCGUAGAACCUUACCUGGGUUUGACAUGGAUCGGGAGCGCUCAGAGAUGGGUGUGCCUCUUUUGGGGUCGGUUCACAGGUGGUGCAUGGCUGUCGUCAGCUCGUGUCGUGAGAUGUUGGGUUAAGUCCCGCAACGAGCGCAACCCUUGUUCACUGUUGCCAGCACGUUAUGGUGGGGACUCAGUGGAGACCGCCGGGGUCAACUCGGAGGAAGGUGGGGAUGACGUCAAGUCAUCAUGCCCCUUAUGUCCAGGGCUUCACGCAUGCUACAAUGGCUGGUACAGAGAGUGGCGAGCCUGUGAGGGUGAGCGAAUCUCGGAAAGCCGGUCUCAGUUCGGAUUGGGGUCUGCAACUCGACCUCAUGAAGUCGGAGUCGCUAGUAAUCGCAGAUCAGCAACGCUGCGGUGAAUACGUUCCCGGGGCU
rnacentral:rRNA from 1 species